GUGAGAAUCACAAGCUUUAAGCGCCUAGGGUUUUCUGCAGCUUCCCUUGGCGCCUUGCUCUACUGUAACAAAAGCGCGGGGGGGAGAAAGAAUCUUGGAUUUGUUUGAGAGGUUCUUCAAUGGCGACUGUCGUUGAAACCUCCGAGGAAGAUGCAGCUCUCACCGUCGUCCGCUUUGCCUCUGAGCUUGCUUGGGCCGACGCCGGUCCCGAGGCUGCUGAGCCACAAGUUAAUAGACUCUGCGUUGAAGCUCAAGAAUGUAUGGUUAUGGGAAGAUGGGUGGAUUUGGCAUCUUUAAUGCUGGCUUCUACCGACGUGAUAUUUUCAAAAGUUUCUGAAAAAGAUCUCGAGUGUGUAUUCACUAUUAUCUGUAAUCUUGUCACGAAGUCUGGAAACCCAGACGAAUCAUUCGAAAUAGUGAAGGUUAUAUCUGCUAAGAUUGGCCAACAGCCAAAUGACAAACCUGCACUUCGUUUGAAGAUCUUGUUCAAUCUGUACAACCUGCUUGAGAAUCCAUAUAGCCGGUUCUAUGUAUACAUGAAGGCCCUGGAUUUAUCUCUUAAGGGGAAGGUCCCUGAACAUAUAAUUCCCUCAUUAAAAAAGAUAGACAGUUUCUUGAGAGAGUGGAAUAUUGGAAUCAUAGAGCAGAGAGAACUUUUCCUCGCCAUCUCCGAUGUUUUGAAAGGAAGUAAGAGUUCUGCAAAUGAUUAUUUCAAGUUUCUUACCAAAUAUUUGGCCACUUUCACUGGUGAAGAUGACUUGAAUGAAGCAAAGGAGGAAGCUGCUCAUGCAAUUGUUGAAUUCAUUAAGGCACCCAACUUAUUUAAGUGUGAUUUGUUAGACAUGCCUGCUGUAGGGCAACUGGAGAAGGAUCCCAAAUCUUCAUUGGUUUAUCAGCUUCUGAAGAUUUUUCUGACUCAGAGAUUGGAUGCUUACUUGGAAUUUCAAGCUGCAAAUUCUACUUUAUUGAAAAGCUAUGGUCUCGUCCAUGAAGACUGUAUUGCAAAAAUGAGGUUAUUGUCAUUGGUGGAUCUUGGCUCAAAUGAAUCUGCCCCCAUUCCGUAUGCUCUCAUUAAGGACACACUCAGGAUCAAGGAUGAUGAGGUGGAACUGUGGGUCGUGAAGGCCAUUACUUCCAAAUUGAUUGACUGCAAAAUGGACCAGAUGAAUGAAGUUGUGAUUGUGAGCCGCUGUAGUGACCGUGUAUUUGGGCAGCAUCAGUGGGAAACGCUUAGAAUGAAGCUAGCCACAUGGAGGGGUAAUAUUGCGAAUGUCAUUGGCACCAUUCGAGCAAACAAAGUAGUUGAGGAUGGAUCACAGGGUGUUCAAGGUUUGGCAAUUCGCUGAAGAUUGGAUUUUUGUUCAUCUGAAAGGCAUAAUUUUAGAGGAGUCGAAUUAUUUCAGCCUUUAGAGAGAGAAAGAGACAGAGAGCCAAAAAUGGGUGGUCGGUGUUCGUUUUGGGGAGUUGCAGUGGCGGCGUUGAUGGUGACAAUCAUCCUCUGUUCCAGCAACAGCAGCAGAGCUUCGAGUCUGGGCAGGGCCAACGCCACGUACGGCGAGGUGGAGGUGGAAUCGCUGGUGCGUCGUGAGAUAGCUCGGUUUCUGAAUUUUCAAGGCAUCAAAGUCUACACAGACAAAACCCAGAACCCGAACGUCAAAUCUUGUGGUAACGGCCAGGGAAACCCCAUGGGCGACUGCAGUGGUAGCCCCACUAAUAAGAAACACUGCAACUCAUACGCCGGCGCCGGCGCCUGCUAGAGUCGAACCCUUUGGUUCCAUAUUGUAUUAUUGUUUCCUCUUUUGCUCUCUGUGUUUGUGUUUCAAGUUGUUGUUUAUAACGGUUCUCUGUCUUCUGUGGAGCUCUUGCUUUAAACAGUCAUGGUUGGGUGUGGGUAUGGCUUUGGUUGUUGCUGUUGUUUGUGUCAAAUAAGAACAAUGAAAUGCCUCAUCUUCUUCUCCA